UACGUAGGGCGCAAGCGUUGUCCGGAAUUAUUGGGCGUAAAGAGCGUGUAGGCGGCCAGGUAGGUCUGCUGUGAAAACUCGAGGCUCAACCUCGAGACGUCGGCGGAAACCAUCUGGCUAGAGUCCGGAAGAGGAGAGUGGAAUUCCUGGUGUAGCGGUGAAAUGCGCAGAUAUCAGGAAGAACACCCGUGGCGAAGGCGGCUCUCUGGGACGGUACUGACGCUGAGACGCGAAAAGCGUGGGGGAGCGAACAGG
rnacentral:rRNA from 1 species